rnacentral:tRNA from 1 species
GGUAAAAUGGCUGAAUUAUUAAGGCGAUAAAUUGUAAAUUUAUUUAUGAAAGUUUCUUUUACUAAUUU